GACGAACGCUGGCGGCGUGCUUAACACAUGCCAGUCGAACGGAAAGGCCCUGCUUUUGUGGGGUGCUCGAGUGGCGAACGGGUGAGUAACACGUGAGUAACCUGCCCUUGACUUUGGGAUAACUUCAGGAAACUGGGGCUAAUACCGGAUAGGAGCUCCUGCUGCAUGGUGGGGGUUGGAAAGUUUCGGCGGUUGGGGAUGGACUCGCGGCUUAUCAGCUUGUUGGUGGGGUAGUGGCUUACCAAGGCUUUGACGGGUAGCCGGCCUGAGAGGGUGACCGGCCACAUUGGGACUGAGAUACGGCCCAGUCUCGUACGGGAGGCAGCAGUGGGGAAUAUUGCACAAUGGGCGGAAGCCUGAUGCAGCAACGCCGCGUGCGGGAUGACGGCCUUCGGGUUGUAAACCGCUUUCGCCUGUGACGAAGCGUGAGUGACGGUAAUGGGUAAAGAAGCACCGGCUAACUACGUG
rnacentral:rRNA from 1 species